AUUAACGCUAGCGGCAGGCAUAAUACAUGCAAGUUGAACGGCAGCACAGGUAGCAAUACUGGGUGGCGAGUGGCGCACGGGUGCGUAACACGUAUGCAACCUACCCUAUACAGGCGAAUAACCUUUAGAAAUGAGGGCUAAUACGCCGUAGUAUUACAGGUGGGCAUCUAUUUGUAAUUAAAGAUUUAUCGGUAUAGGAUGGGCAUGCGUCCCAUUAGUUAGUUGGUAAGGUAACGGCUUACCAAGACGAUGAUGGGUAGGGG
rnacentral:rRNA from 1 species